rnacentral:rRNA from 1 species
CUACGGGACGCUCCAGUAAGGAAUAUUGCGCAAUGGAGGCAACUCUGACGCAGCCAUGCCGCGUGCAGGACUGAAGGCCUUAUGGGUCGUAAACUGCUUUUAUUUAGGAAUAAACUCUUGUACGUGUACGAGACUGAAGGUACUAAAUGAAUAAGCACCGGCUAACUCCGUGCCAGCAGCCGCGGUAAUACGGAGGGUGUAAGCGUUAUCCGGAUUUAUUGGGUUUAAAGGGUGCGCAGGCGGAUGAUUAAGUCAGAGGUGAAAUCCCGGAGCUCAACUUCGGAACUGCCUUUGAUACUGGUAGUCUUGAAUACGGUUGAAGUAGGCGGAAUGUAGCAUGUAGCGGUGAAAUGCAUAGAGAUGCUACAGAACACCGAUCGCGAAGGCAGCUUACUAAGCCGAUAUUGACGCUCAGGCACGAAAGCGUGGGGAGCGAACAGGAUUAGAUACCCCCGUAGUC